rnacentral:sRNA from 1 species
ACUCAACACUAACACAAUAAAAUGAGUGAAUCAUCGCCACUAAAGUAAGCCCAUUCAGUUGGGAAACUUGAACUGCGAGUUAGCUCAAAACUUGUCCUUACGAGUUU